AAACAGUUGAUUAAAAAAAUUUUUUGCAUGUAACUUUUUAGUAGAAAUUAUAUUCUAAAUGAAUAAUUAUUAUUUUUUUCAGUGAUUAAUUUUAAUUUAAAUAAUUUUUAUUAUUUGAUAAAUUUUUUUUUAAGUCAGUAAAAUGUUAUGCCAGCAUUCGCGGUUAUAUUUCAUGUUUAAGUCAACUUUUUUUUUGGAUUUCAGUUUAUUUUUUAGGAAUUUUUUAAUUUGGGUGAAAUUUAUUAAUUAAUUAUUUUUUUUCUGUAUAAUCUAUAUUAUAGACCAGGAUUAGAUACCCUGUUAUUUUAGUGAAAUUUUUAAAUCCAGUGAGUAGUUAAUAUUAAUGAAAUUUAAAGGAUCUGGCGGUUUUUAAAUCUUUUUAGAGGAACCUGUAAUUUAAAUGAUAAUCCACGAUUAAUUUAACCUUAAUUUUUUUUGUAUAUCUCUGUCGUUGAGUGUAGUGAAAAUUUAUUUUCUUUAUAUUUUUAGUAUUUAUGUUAGGUCAAGGUGCAAUUAUAUUAAGGCUAUUAUGGGUUACAAUAACUUUUUAUAUAAUUUAAUUUGAAUUAAAUUUUAGUAUGGAUUUAAAAGUAAAAAAUUUUAUUAAAUUUUUUGAAUAAAGUUCUUAAAAAUGCACAUAUCGCCCGUCAUUCCCAUAAAUUGGGACAAGUCGUAACAAAGUAGAUGUACUGGAAAGUGUAUCUAGAAA
rnacentral:ncRNA from 1 species